GCUGGGUGCAGUGGUGCACACCUGUAAUCCCAGUGGCUCGGGAGGCUGAGGCAGGAGGAUUGGAGUUUAAGGUCAGACUCAGCAAUUUAGUCAGGACCUAAGCAACCCAAGGAAACCCUGUCUGUA
rnacentral:sRNA from 1 species